rnacentral:rRNA from 1 species
GACGAACGCUGGCGGCGUGCUUAACACAUGCAAGUCGAACGGAAAGGCCCUGCUUUUGUGGGGUGCUCGAGUGGCGAACGGGUGAGUAACACGUGAGUAACCUGCCCUUGACUUUGGGAUAACUUCAGGAAACUGGGGCUAAUACCGGAUAGGAGCUCCUGCUGCAUGGGGGGGGUUGGAAAGUUUCGGCGGGGGGGGAUGGACUCGCGGCUUGUCAGCUUGUUGGUGGGGUAGUGGCUUACCAAGGCAUUGACGGGUAGCCGGCCUGAGAGGGUGACCGGCGACAUUGGGACUGAGAUACGGCCCAGACUCCUACGGGAGGCAGCAGUGGGGAAUAUUGCACAAUGGGCGGAAGCCUGAUGCAGCAACGCCGCGUGCGGGAUGACGGCCUUCGGGUUGUAAACCGCUUUCGCCUGUGACGAAGCGUGAGUGACGGUAAUGGGUAAAGAAGCACCGGCUAACUACGUG